AUUGAACGCUGGCGGCAUGCCUUACACAUGCAAGUCGAACGGCAGCACGGGGGCAACCCUGGUGGCGAGUGGCGAACGGGUGAGUAAUACAUCGGAACGUGCCCGAUAGUGGGGGAUAGCCCGGCGAAAGCCGGAUUAAUACCGCAUGAGACCUAUGGGUGAAAGCGGGGGAUCGCAAGACCUCGCGCUAUCGGAGUGGCCGAUGUCAGAUUAGGUUGUUGGUGAGGUAAAGGCUCACCAAGCCGACGAUCUGUAGCUGGUCUGAGAGGACGACCAGCCACACUGGGACUGAGACACGGCCCAGACUCCUACGGGAGGCAGCAGUGGGGAAUUUUGGACAAUGGGCGCAAGCCUGAUCCAGCCAUGCCGCGUGCGGGAAGAAGGCCUCGG
rnacentral:rRNA from 1 species